rnacentral:rRNA from 1 species
AUAAUGGGUCAGCGACUUAUAUUCUGUAGCAAGGUUAACCGAAUAGGGGAGCCGAAGGGAAACCGAGUCUUAACUGGGCGUUAAGUUGCAGGGUAUAGACCCGAAACCCGGUGAUCUAGCCAUGGGCAGGUUGAAGGUUGGGUAACACUAACUGGAGGACCGAACCGACUAAUGUUGAAAAAUUAGCGGAUGACUUGUGGCUGGGGGUGAAAGGCCAAUCAAACCGGGAGAUAGCUGGUUCUCCCCGAAAGCUAUUUAGGUAGCGCCUCGUGAAUUCAUCUCCGGGGGUAGAGCACUGUUUCGGCAAGGGGGUCAUCCCGACUUACCAACCCGAUGCAAACUGCGAAUACCGGAGAAUGUUAUCACGGGAGACACACGGCGGGUGCUAACGUCCGUCGUGAAGAGGGAAACAACCCAGACCGCCAGCUAAGGUCCCAAAGUCAUGGUUAAGUGGGAAACGAUGUGGGAAGGCCCAGACAGCCAGGAUGUUGGCUUAGAAGCAGCCAUCAUUUAAAGAAAGCGUAAUAGCUCACUGGUCGAGUCGGCCUGCGCGGAAGAUGUAACGGGGCUAAACCAUGCACCGAAGCUGCGGCAGCGACACUGUGUGUUGUUGGGUAGGGGAGCGUUCUGUAAGCCUGUGAAGGUGUGCUGUGAGGCAUGCUGGAGGUAUCAGAAGUGCGAAUGCUGACAUAAGUAACGAUAAAGCGGGUGAAAAGCCCGCUCGCCGGAAGACCAAGGGUUCCUGUCCAACGUUAAUCGGGGCAGGGUGAGUCGACCCCUAAGGCGAGGCCGAAAGGCGUAGUCGAUGGGAAACAGGUUAAUAUUCCUGUACUUGGUGUUACUGCGAAGGGGGGACGGAGAAGGCUAUGUUGGCCGGGCGACGGUUGUCCCGGUUUAAGCGUGUAGGCUGGUUUUCCAGGCAAAUCCGGAAAAUCAAGGCUGAGGCGUGAUGACGAGGCACUACGGUGCUGAAGCAACAAAUGCCCUGCUUCCAGGAAAAGCCUCUAAGCAUCAGGUAACAUCAAAUCGUACCCCAAACCGACACAGGUGGUCAGGUAGAGAAUACCAAGGCGCUUGAGAGAACUCGGGUGAAGGAACUAGGCAAAAUGGUGCCGUAACUUCGGGAGAAGGCACGCUGAUAUGUAGGUGAAGUCCCUCGCGGAUGGAGCUGAAAUCAGUCGAAGAUACCAGCUGGCUGCAACUGUUUAUUAAAAACACAGCACUGUGCAAACACGAAAGUGGACGUAUACGGUGUGACGCCUGCCCGGUGCCGGAAGGUUAAUUGAUGGGGUCAGCGCAAGCGAAGCUCUUGAUCGAAGCCCCGGUAAACGGCGGCCGUAACUAUAACGGUCCUAAGGUAGCGAAAUUCCUUGUCGGGUAAGUUCCGACCUGCACGAAUGGCGUAAUGAUGGCCAGGCUGUCUCCACCCGAGACUCAGUGAAAUUGAACUCGCUGUGAAGAUGCAGUGUACCCGCGGCAAGACGGAAAGACCCCGUGAACCUUUACUAUAGCUUGACACUGAACAUUGAGCCUUGAUGUGUAGGAUAGGUGGGAGGCUUUGAAGUGUGGACGCCAGUCUGCAUGGAGCCGACCUUGAAAUACCACCCUUUAAUGUUUGAUGUUCUAACGUGGACCCGUGAUCCGGGUUGCGGACAGUGUCUGGUGGGUAGUUUGACUGGGGCGGUCUCCUCCUAAAGAGUAACGGAGGAGCACGAAGGUUGGCUAAUCCUGGUCGGACAUCAGGAGGUUAGUGCAAUGGCAUAAGCCAGCUUGACUGCGAGCGUGACGGCGCGAGCAGGUGCGAAAGCAGGUCAUAGUGAUCCGGUGGUUCUGAAUGGAAGGGCCAUCGCUCAACGGAUAAAAGGUACUCCGGGGAUAACAGGCUGAUACCGCCCAAGAGUUCAUAUCGACGGCGGUGUUUGGCACCUCGAUGUCGGCUCAUCACAUCCUGGGGCUGAAGUAGGUCCCAAGGGUAUGGCUGUUCGCCAUUUAAAGUGGUACGCGAGCUGGGUUUAGAACGUCGUGAGACAGUUCGGUCCCUAUCUGCCGUGGGCGCUGGAGAACUGAGGGGGGCUGCUCCUAGUACGAGAGGACCGGAGUGGACGCAUCACUGGUGUUCGGGUUGUCAUGCCAAUGGCACUGCCCGGUAGCUAAAUGCGGAAGAGAUAAGUGCUGAAAGCAUCUAAGCACGAAACUUGCCCCGAGAUGAGUUCUCCCUGACCCUUUAAGGGUCCUGAAGGAACGUUGAAGACGACGACGUUGAUAGGCCGGGUGUGUAAGCGCAGCGAUGCGUUGAGCUAACCGGUACUAAUGAACCGUGAGGCUUAACCUU